rnacentral:lncRNA from 1 species
GGCGGCUGAGGCGCGGGGAUGGAGCCCCUGCGGGUGCUGGAGCUAUACAGCGGCGUGGGCGGCAUGCACCACGCGCUGAGAGAAAGCUGUAUACCUGCACAAGUGGUGGCUGCCAUUGAUGUCAACACUGUCGCUAAUGAAGUAUACAAGUAUAAUUUUCCUCACACACAGUUACUUGCCAAGACGAUUGAAGUGAGUAAUUGUCAUUGUUUUAAUAAGUAUGUAGCAAGGGAAAUGUGAUUGAAAAACACUGCCUAAUACUGGUUUCCGUUGUCUUAAUUGGAAGAUAAAGCAUAUAUAAAUUUAAGAGUUCAGGAGAAGGAGAUUAACAUUUUAUAUCCUAUCAGAAGAUAGCAUGCUUUUAAAAAAAAGUCCAGCUAUAGACAGGGAGAUCAAUAUUUUGGUCUUUCAGAGAAAUAAUUGAAAUGUAAGGAUAUGCUUGACUUCUAAAUGCUUGGUUCUGUGGUGAUAUUGAACUUCGAAAAAGUAUUUACUUUUAUUAAAUACUUAUGCAAUAUAUAUAGCAUGCAGUAAGAACAAGGGAGAAAAUCAUUGGCUUUUACUGAAUGCUUCUUAUUUUAGCAAACCUGUCAAGGUUAACCUUUUUCACCUGUGGUGACUUCAGCACAAGUAUUGAAACACUGAUUUAUGUUGAGUUAUUUUUUAAAUAAUGUGAAAUUGGCUGGGCGCGGUGGCUGACGCCUGUAAUGCCAGCACUUUGGGAGGCCGAGACAGGUGGAUCACGAAGUUAUGAGUUCGAGACCAGCCUGGCUGACAUAGCAAAACCUGGUCUCUACUAAAAAUACAAAAAUUAGCCAGGUGUGUUGGCACAUGCCUGUAGUCCCAGCUACUUGGGAGGCUGAGGCAGGAGAAUCGCUUGAACCCAGGAGGCGGAGGUUGCAGUGAGCUGAGAUCGCGCCACUGCACUCCAGCCUGGUCGACUU